AAGAGGUGAUGUUCCAAGCAGAUGGCCCAGUGGUGGGAGGAAACAUGGGAGGAGGCGCUGGAAGAGGGCCAGAAUGGAAGUAGGAAGACCUGUUGUGAGGCUACUGCAGUGGCCCAGGAAAUAGACGACGAGAGCUUGGUCCAGGAUUCUGGCAGUAGAGAUGGGUGGACUUGAGAGCUGUGUAAGAGGUCACUAUGAUGGAGGAGGGAGCUUCAAAAGUGGAUAAAACAAAUACUUUUACUGCCUUCAAGAGCGGUGCCAAAAAGAAGUACCGCAAUCGCUGCAGGAACAAGAUGGCCUCCUAUGCUGGAAGGAAGAUGCCAGUCUCGCCUUGGAUACCUACAUGCUGAGAUGGCCUACUUUUAAAAGGAAUUAAAGUCCUGUUAAGAAACA